UCAGCCUGGUAUCCGCGCGGCUAGUGACGUCAUCGACUCCUCAGACUCUCUUCCCCAUGGCCCCUCCCUGCUCGGGCAGCCGUCGCUUGGAGCGGCCAUGCCCGGAUCCGGCCACUCUUCGACGAGAUCCGGCUACCUAGAGCCUAGAUCUAGUCACUGUUGCUCGGAUUUAGCAGAUGGAACCGGUGACGUUGUCAACUCCAGGAGGUAGAUUUGGCAGUCGUGCGUCCUCGGGGGACCACGCUCGCGGCACCGUCACCUCCGGUGCAGUGGCUCUCAGCCACCUCUUCACCUUCUUGGUAGCCAAGCUCAUCUCCACUGUGAUCGCCUUCAAGGAGGACAACCUCCGCAUCAAGUGUUGUCCUCCGGCUUCCCCCACCGCCUCCUCCCAUUCCUAUACGCUCCUGGCCCCUCCGCCUCCCUCCUGAGACUUCCACAGCAAUGACUCCAGUCAAGGCAACGAUAGCGAAUAAGAGGGCAUGGAGAGCACAAAGCUCGACGAGGAGUACAGCAUCGCGCUAUAGCCGUCUGCCCUCGAGCUGAAGGCCCAUGCCAAGUGGUACUCAGAAGUGGUGAACGUGAUUGGGUUCUUCGACUUCACCAUGGAUUAGUUUUGUGCCUCGUGACGCUUUUUAUCCUUUCAGUAGAUUUCUUUAGGGUUGUGCAACUACUUGUCUGGAUCUGCAGGAUGGAAGGAGGAGACAGUUCAAUUCUUUUUUUUUUACUGCCAUGUAAAACUGGGAAAAUGAUGGGUAUGGCUUCCAUUAUGGAACACGGAUUCUGCUGUGUAGAUCAAUAGGUAGCUGGACGUUGCUGCUCACAGAUGAGUAUCCCCUUUUCUCUAAUCUCAGUUCUCUCUCUAUUGACAGCAUGUGUGGCUUGUGAAAUGGUGAUUGAGUGAAAUAUCCAGUUGUACAGGCAUCUGAAAAUAAUUAGUACAUACCUUCAGAAAGGGGUGUUAAAUAUACACUACUUCGAUUUAGAAAUUAACUGCAAAUUGUGCUUGUGUUGGCUCAAUAUGCUUUGCCAAAAAUAAGAAAUUCUGCAGACCAAAAUAUGCUUUACUCUGCUCUCUUUCAGUUCAAGUUGAUAAUACGUGAAACUCUGUUCGAGUGGUUGAUGCUAAUAAUAUAUGAAGUAGACUGCAUCUUGGUUUGUUCUGUCUUGAAGGCUAGUGCUCAGGAUCAAAGCCUUUUGGUUUGUUCUAUCUCCAUAUUAUGCUCAACCAUAGAACAAGAUUCAUCCUUCAAUCAUAUAAUUAUCGUUUUAGAAGACAAACUUCUUGUUUUCUGACAUGUUCGCCUUUUUUGAUAUGAUUUUGGUUUGUAUGUAAAAAGUGGAACAUGCUGCACUUGAUUGCUUUAAAAUGGCGUUAAUUACUAGCAGUAUGCGGUCAAUGAUAGUGUGUUCUUUUGUUUAAUCAAAGGAUUGAAUGUUUGAUGGUAAGAAGCUAACCAAGUUGUUCAUUUCUUUGUAGAAUAAUUCAAUAUUAUUGUUACUGUUUCUAUCUCGAUUCAAUAAUCCGUUCACUACACAAUAUAUGUGCCGAUCCAUAACUCAUAACGUUUUCUUUACCAGUCCUUCAAUCUCAAAUAGGAAUACAGAAUUAUAAAUCUAUUGGUCUGUAGAUAAUCACAUCAUUAGUGCUUAGUGGUGUGCUCUAAUUUAUUUGCUUAGGUAGGUUAUGAUAUAAGAGUUGCCGAAGUAACAACUAAUCUUCUUGAGUUGAUUUAUGAUAGAUCAAUUUUCCUCUCGGAUUGAACAAAGCGUUGUCACGCGAAGAAAGUAUUUUAUUUGAGAAGUGGAUGAUCCAAUGAGUGUUUCUUAUCUUGACCUAGGAAUGCAUAUCACAGAUACCUGAAGAAAAAACGGUAGUGAAGAGGAUGCAACCUCAGUAGCAGCUAAAUCAAGUACAACAGUUUAGACUGAAGAAAUACCUGAGCCCCCUUGAAGUGAUUGGAUGCAUUUUCACACCGGUUUGUGGAUGCUAGAAAAUUUAUUUUUGUUAGAGAUUGUGUAUACUUGUAUGGAUGGAAGUGUGUAUGUUAAUAUAUUGUGUAACUGAGAGUUAUUACAUGGAAAUUUUUAUUUGAUGUCUUUUGGUGUGUACGAUUC